ACUCCUUGGGCUGAGCACAUACAAACCAUCACAAGAAGGAGCCUUGUGUAACGGCUGGAGCAGCGGAUCAGCAUGCGUGACACUGAGGUUGACUGAUAUAAUCCACCAUCUUGUGGGCAGGGUGACUCUCUCUGUGGUCUCCUUGGUGGAUGCAGACAGUAUCCUAGGAAGAAAAGUCAUCACACAUGAACCAAACCUGAAGGUGGACGCUUGGAUGUGUGGCAAAGAGAGCUCUAAACCAGGAUGCUCUGCUCAGGACCCAUCUGGCGGUUGUUGGCUCCCCACAACCCUGUCUGGAGUUUCUGUCCUCUGUGGAGGGGUUCUUCGUGCUUCCCAGCCUGUGACUUCUGAGGCCGAAGCCAGCAUGCUGACUGCUGUAGUAGAGGCUACGAGACCUCACCAAGUUCUCCUUCCCAGCUUCCUCUUACUCGAUGGGAGGUUGUUCCUGAGCAUUGCGUGAACCUGUCCUGGGGAGGCAAACAAAUGUGGAUUCAGGAUUCCACUCAAGUCUGUCUUGGUGAGCCGGGUACUUCACAGACCUUGAGCAGUCUUCAUGGCCAGCAUUCAUCAGAGCCACUGAACACGCACAGUCCUGGCACCUAGGCAUGGACCGAGAUGGCAGGGCUGCAGUGGAGUGGGUGGCAGUCCCUCCGUUGUCAAGUGGCAUCAUCUUUUGGGGGCUAUCGUGGUUAUGACCUGUAGUUCCUAACACGCUCCUGUUCAAGGGAUGGGAGAUAUUGGUGUUUCUGCGCCCACUGUUCCCUUGCAUCAGCCUUAGUGCCUACAGAAUGGCCAACCCCAUAAAUCAAGAACCACUGUGCACAGAGGGCAGAAGGCAGCUUGUCCCUGCAGCUUCUAUUGCUCUCUGUUUCCACCAGUGGAUAUGGAGAUGGGGAACUCCUUUCCUGUGUGCUGCAGGACUGAAGACUCUCUCCAGUGCAGGCCCGCAGGCUCUCACUGCCUGAGCCGCAUCCUCACUAUCAGUGAACUGAGCCUCUCCUUCCCUCCAGCCACACAGGCCUCUCCUUUACAGACUCCACCGCAAGCCCAGCAGGGCCCACUGCCCAGCCUCAUGGUUCCCGGCUUUCCCUUCCCACAAGGCUCUUAGAGGUUGAGGAGAAACUCUGAAACUGGAGUCUCUGGGUGCCGGAAAGCUGGAUUAUUAAAACAGAAGGGCUAUCCAGUUUCUCUGGCACCUCUGCCCACCUCUGCCACCCAAUUUGCACUGGGCAGGUGGAAGGUUCCACCAAGGACCAAGGAAGAAGCUCAGGGACAUUGCACCCGGGUACUUUAACUCAUUAGGCUAAACGAAGGACGGGGCGUGCGCUGCUGCGGCCACAGAGUGGAAAGCUCAAAAGAACAUCACCUAGGUUGUGUCAGACAAAGGGGGCCACUCAGUCCCAGGGGAACAGAACCAAGAGAACUGAAUGGUAAAGGAGCCGCUCCACCCCACUUCCAGCUGACCUUCGCACAGCCUGUCAGACUCAUCAAGCAGCAUCAGUAGUGCCUGUCCCAGAGCCGGGCAGUGAGAGCGCAGCGUAGAGCGUUCACUACGAGCACUAGCCAAGGAGGUUAAGACAGCCUGGCUCCUCCUCUCAGGCAGAUGUGCCAGCUGUGUGAUCUGGGCAAACUAUCUGAUCGUUCUGUGCCUUGUCCCCUGGACUUGGUGCACUAGAGGCUCAUUAAAACACGCAUGGAAGAACCUGACUGGAUUGGGGCUGUGACUGAGAUGGCAGAGUGCUUGCCCGGCAUGCACAAAGCCCUGAGUUGGAUUCCCAGCAGUGCAUACAGAAACCAAGCACACCAUUUAAAACCUGUCAUCCCAGCACUGGAGAGACAGCAGCAGGAGGAACAGAAGUUCAAGGUCAUCUUCAACUACCCAAUUGGUUGGAGGCCAGCUUGGGCUGCAUAAAAUUUCCUUAAGAGCCCUUGGGGUUUAAUUAAGCUUUAAAUGAGGAUUUUUUUCCUCCCCCUUUGGUUGGUACAGGGAAGUGUCCCUUGCCUUGGGGGGAGGAUUAGUGUCGGGUACUUACCUAGCUGUGGCUUCCAGACCUUGGUGUGCCGAGGGACCUUGUUCUGGAACCAGCUUUUCCUUCCGUUGGUCUUUAACGUAUAAAUGCUCCCUGUCAGCUGGGUUCUACUGAGAACUGAAUGAGCAAAGCUGCCUGGAGCAGAGCAUGCUGGGUCCAACAAUCCUUGAUCAGGAGGAGGGUAGUCACUCUACACUAAGGGACACUCCUCUCCUGUGACCUGUCUGGCCUUCAGAAACCCCGAUAUUGCCACAAGACACCUACCCUCCAUUCCCACAGCGCCUCAGCUCUUGGGGACCUCGAAGCCUUCCUCAGUCCACCUCCCUGUGCAGGGGGAACAUGAACCCCAGGUGGCGGGCGCAGAGGCAGCUGGAUCGAUAAGAAAUGUCACCGAGUACGUGCUGCAGCCCCCGCUGGGGGCAGCAAGAAUCCCAAUCAAAGAAUGUAUCUUGUUGACAAACUGAAUGUGAGAUCAAUUCUGAACCCCUCGGAAACUAGUCGUCACCUGCAGAAUACAAAUUAAUCCAAAGAGGCAGAUGUGGCCAGUGACAAGUUCCCUUCCUAGGUGCUGGGUAAUGUGAAAAAGUCCAUGGGGUUCUCAUCUGCAGCAAUCAAAACCCUGUGGGGAGCAUCCAUCAGGACUCCAAGGCCAGGUGCGCCCUGCCUCGGUCUCCCCGCCCUCUUCUGCAGCCCUCAUACUUCACAGCUCACCGAGAGGCAGUAAAUCAAUAGAAAUAUCUUUGGUGGGAAGGUCCUUGGUUGCAGGGUAAUAGGUGUGCUGAUGGGUCCCCUGUUAGGUGAUGGCUUGUCUCCUAGGACUGGAUUGAAGGACUGAUGCUACCUGGGCCUGCAGCUUGCUGGCUCCAGCGCCAGCCCUGACUGCCAGAGGGAGGCCAUUGUGAUCCUAGCCAGAGCCCUUGUGUGGGCGCCAAGGCUUCCAAGUCACAUGGUGGUGCUGCCUGUCCAGUAUCCCGGCAGUAGCUUUCGUUUGUCACAAGAGAUGGAAUCUUUCAAAAAUAACCCGUGUGUGCGUGCACGGCUCCGGUUUGCAAAUGUCUUGACACUGCCAGCCUUUAAUUAGCUGUGCUUUGCCAUCAGGGAUGCUGCAACUGCCACUUCCCAGGCUGCAAAUGACAUCGUUGAGUCACCAACAGCGAGAGCAAAGUGUGAGCUGGGAGGGGGCCUGGGUCACCUCGGCCAGUGAUAAUCUGCAGAGCCCAGGGAUAGCAGCCCUGGCUGAGGUCACAGGAUGUAGAAGGCUGGCCAGAUCUGGCUGCUGGACCUGAUGAAGCUUUGUCCACUGCCUCAGGUUCUGCAGUCUCCAACGCCAGCUGCCAUCCUCAGGGGCUGAAGAACACACACACACAGAGAGAGAGAGAGAGAGAGAGAGAGAGAGAGAGAGAGAGAGAGAGACAGAGAGACAGAGAGACAGAGAGAGAGAGACAGAGAGAGAGAGACAGAGAGAGAGAGACAGAGAGACAGAGAGGCACACAGACACACAUACAGACACCCAGACACACACACACACACACACACACACACACAAAUACACAGAGAUAUGUAUAUAUACACACACAAAGACAUACACAGAGGGAAAGAGUGAAAGAGGGAAAGCAAGAGGCACACAAACACACACAGAGACAGAGGCAUAUACAAACACACACAGACACAACCCUACACACUGACACUCACAGACACACAUAGACAGACACACACACAGAAACACAGAGAGACACACACAACCACAUACAGACACACAGAAACACACACACACAAACAUACACAUAGACACAAAGUCAUACAGAGAGAUAAAGAGAGAGAAACACACAAAGACACACACAGAGACAGACACACAAACAGACAGACACAAAGUCAGAGAGAGAGAGAGAGAGAGAGAGAGAGAGCGAGAGAGUACAAGAGGCCCCAAAACACACACAGACACACACAGAGACAGACACAGGCACACAAACACUAUCACUGGGUGUGUUCUAAGCUAUUCUAACCUUAUGAGCUAUCCAGACCACAGCCACAGGCCCCGUGCUGCUCACAGUUUGAGUCUUGUCCAGUCUUGCUCUGCUCCAAGUGUGUCCUUGAGGUGAACUCCCUUGGCGGCGACUCCUCCCGCCCAAACUCACGGUGACCGUCUUUCUCUUCCUCCAUCUGCUUUGUGGUCCUUCUUCUCCUGAACCCUUGCCUGUCUGAUGGCCAACUUUCUCUCCCUGGCUCUUCUCCUUGGGACCCCUGGCUGGGAUUGGAAGUUCAGCCUUCUUCCCUCUUCUUCCCAGGUAUAGGCCAGUCAGCCGUUUGUUUACCAGCCAUAGACAAUGGAGGAGCAUCCUUUACACCACACUGAUACAGGAGGUUCCUUAACAUUCAUGACAGUGCCUGUGUCCUGACUGUAACUAGAUUUCAGGGCACAGAAAUCAGCAUCUGAAUACACAGUGCACAAGACCCUCCUACAACACACACACACACACACACACACAACCACAGAUACACCCUCACACACAGACACACAGGCACAUAGAGAAACAUAUACAAAUGCACGGAGAUACAGACACAGACAGACACACACAAAGCCAUGGACACAACCAUACACAGAGACACACAGAUAUAUACACACACAACCAUAGACACAAUCACACACACAGACAUACACAGAAACAUACACAGACACAUGGAAAAAAAACACACAGACAUUCAGACACAGACAACACACAAAGAUACACACACAUACAGACACGCAGAUACACAGACACAGACACAUGCAGAAACACCUAUGCACAGACAUACAGACACAGAGAGAAACAGACAUACACACAAACACAUAGACAUACACACACACACACACACUCAUACACCCCCCCACACACAUGCCCCACCAGACUGACUAGAAUUUGGAGACUGGUGUCUAUUCUCAGAGGUCUAUGUGAAGAUCUAAGCUGUGUCUUCAAUCAGUUUUCAUUUCCCUAAUGACCCGUGAUGUUGAACAUCUCCUUACAAGUCUCUGGACCUCUCUGCUUCUUUGGAGAGAUGUGCAUUGAACCAUCGCCUGAUUUCUGUCAUUUUUGAAUUAAGGAAAUGGGCUUGUCUUUACACAGGAGUUGAGGGUCACAGGAAAAGGAAGAUUUCCCAUAACCCCAUUCUCCACACAGAAUGUCGUCAGUGGUCAGCCACGGGUGCUGAGUGUGUCAUCCUACCCGAGGCUCUCGGGCCACAUCAGGGCCUCCAAGUGUGUCUUCAUCAUUUAUUGUUAGGGUGCUUUGGUAAAUACGCAUGGUUACGGUGGUGUUAAUCUUCUUCCUCUACUCGACUUGGUUUAGGAUCACUUAGGAGAUGCACUUCUCAGCGUGUCUGAGAGGGUGUUUCCCGGGAGGUUGACUGAGAAGGGAAGGUGGUGAACAGAACCACCCACACGCUGGGAUCCUGAGCUAAAUACAGAGGAAACGUGCACUGAGCACAAGCACCUGCCCUCUCCACCUCCUGGCCGCAUUGCUCCCUGCCAGAGAGACUGAACCUUCAGCUUUGAGCCCAAUAUCUUCCUUCUUCCUUUAAUUCUUUCUUUCCAGGAAUUUUGUCCUAGCAGUGUGAAAAGUAACAAAGAUGAAAACCGGAUCACGAGCGAGGUCCCUCAGCGAUUACCCUCACUGUGGUUUACGGACACUUAUGGACUCUUCACUGGUGUGCUGAAAUAACGUGGAUGGGCUUCUAGCGGUGCGCAGGUGAAACCAAGACGUCUGUAACCAGAGCUUAAUGGGCCAUCCUGGUGGGAAUGUGGGAGACCAGAAUGCUGAGAGAAACGUGGUGGGCAGAGGCCUGGAUACUGAGUUUCAGAGGGGAUCAAGGGCCAGGUCAGAAACUAGGCUAGAGGCCAUUUGGGUUCAUAUUCUUUCAAACAAUCUGGCUUUACUCUGCUGGUGUCCCGAGAGCCUGAGUUGGCUGAAUUCAAAAGCAAUGGAUUAAUUCACUUGACGGAGAUCAUUUCAAUUUUGGUUGGGACAGCCAUGCUUAACUGUUCACAUAUCUGAAGGAGACGGAAGGGGAAGGAGGCAGGGAAGUGAAAAAAACUUUAGGGUCCCUUGGAGAGUCCGUUGUGUUGGAUGGUGUUUGGCUGGGGCAAACACAUGAAGGAGUGUUUUCCUCAAGUGGACACAGGUGAAAGGCUAAGGCCAACCCAUGAAGGAAUGUUUCGCUGAAGCAGACACAGGAGAAAGAAUGUUCUGCUAAAGCAAGCACGUGAAAGAACCCGUGAUGAAGGAGUCUUCGCUAAUGACACACAUAUGUCCACUUUACCUUGUGUAGUUGAGCUCCAUUUGUCAGGACUCCAAAGAGAAAAUGCACCAAAAAUCUUCUGGUGGCGUGCUGGUGUCUUCUUGCCAUUUCUGAGACCGCGGGCUGAUUGGCAGAGUGAUGUCAGCUGAGACAGAUACAUGUGAGGAGGCAAGACCCAUGCUGAAGCAAGAUACAUGCAAGACAUGUGGAAGACAUGUGAUGUUUGGAGGGUAUAAAUAGGACUUCACAGACAGUGAUGGAGGCUGAGCUUGGUUUGCUGGUACCAAGCUAGCUGUUGUGUGCUUGUUGGUCUUGCUUCUUCACUGAUCUUUGCUUCCCUAAGAGAGGCACAGCCAAGAACUUCUGGUGUCCCUCCUGGUCCCUUCUGCUGACUCAAGCUGAGGCCGAGGUUGGCCGUCUCUGCUAGGUUGUGUUAGCUGUUGCUAACCUGGCUGUAUUGAACUGGACUGCUGGUGUGUCCAUGAAGUGUUUGUGAGUGGAUCGAGCUGCUGCUGCUGACCUAUGAACGGAACUGCAGAUUUCCAGACAACACAGAUGGGAGUUGUUCAUUUCUAAGCAGGUCCAUUUCCCUUGUGUCCUUCCUUCUCUACUACCUCUGGAGGAUGGUUGGGUAGAAGGGGGGGUCAAAGCGUUUAAGAACUCUCAUUAAAAGUAAGUUUUGAAAAUAUUAA